rnacentral:rRNA from 1 species
GACGAACCGAGCGAACGUUGUUCGGAAUCACUGGGCUUAAAGGGCGCGUAGGCGGGCUGUCAAGUCUGGGGUGAAAUCUCGCGGCUCAACCGCGGAACUGCCUCAGAUACUGACGGCCUCGAGGGGGGUAGGGGCGAGCGGAACGGGUGGUGGAGCGGUGAAAUGCGUUGAUAUCACUCGGAACUCCGGUGGCGAAGGCGGCUCGCUGGACCUCUUCUGACGCUGAUGCGCGAAAGCCAGGGGAGCAAACGGG